AGAAUUUGGAGAGAUGUGCGUCGAUAAAAAAAGUCAUGAAUUGGAAAGGGGUUUACCCACAGAAUCGCUCUCACUCGCUCAACGCGCUCUUUCUGCGAGUGGUCACCGGAAGUUGGAAGUUCGUUUGUGAUAGGAUCUAAACAAGUAUCAAAGUCUACAAAUUCUGGAUUAAGCAAGUUAAAGACUUGUGAUUCCCCUGUAUCUUCAACAACCUCGUCUUCCAAAACUUUAUCCAAAGACAUCUGUGGAU